GAUGAACGCUGGCGGCGUGCCUAAUACAUGCAAGUCGAGCGAACAGACGAGGAGCUUGCUCCUUUGACGUUAGCGGCGGACGGGUGAGUAACACGUGGGUAACCUACCUAUAAGACUGGGAUAACUUCGGGAAACCGGAGCUAAUACCGGAUAAUAUUUCGAACCGCAUGGUUCGAUAGUGAAAGAUGGCUUUGCUAUCACUUAUAGAUGGACCUGCGCCGGAUUAGCUAGUUGGUAAGGUAACGGCUUACCAAGGCAACGAUACGUAGCCGACCUGAGAGGGUGAUCGGCCACACUGGAACUGAGACACGGUCCAGACUCCUACGGGAGGCAGCAGUAGGGAAUCUUCCGCAAUGGGCGAAAGCCUGACGGAGCAACGCCGCGUGAGUGAUGAAGGUCUUCGGAUCGUAAAACUCUGUUAUUAGGGAAGAACAAACGUGUAAGUAACUGUGCACGUCUUGACGGUACCUAAUCAGAAAGCCACGGCUAACUACGUG
rnacentral:rRNA from 1 species